rnacentral:rRNA from 1 species
CUGAUUAUUUAAAUGGCCGCAGUAUAUUAACUGUGCAAAGGUAGCAUAAUCAUUAGUUUUUUAAUUGAAGGCUGGUAUGAAUGGUUGGACGAAAUAUUUACUGUUUCAUAAAAAUUUUUAAUAGAAUUUUAUUUUUUAGUUAAAAAGCUAAAAUAUAUUUAAAAGACGAGAAGACCCUAUAAAUCUUUAUAAUAAUAUAUUUUAUUAAUUUUUAGAAUUUUUUUUUUAUAAUAUUUAUUAUUAUUUUAUUGGGGUGAUAUUAAAAUUUAAUUAACUUUUAUAAUUUAUUACAUUAAUUUAUGAAUAAAUGAUCCAUUAUUAAUGAUUAAAAAAUUAAGUUACUUUAGGGAUAACAGCGUAAUUUUUUUGGUGAGUUCAUAUCAAUAAAAAAUAUUGCGACCUCGAUGUUGGAUUAAGAAAUAUAUUUAGGUGUAGUAGUUUAAAAUAUAAGUCUGUUCGACUUUUAAUUUCUUACGUGAUCUGAGUUCA